GGCUCUGUGGUGUCAAUGGCUAGCAUGGCUGUCUGUCGAACAGCAGGACGGGGAUCGAAACCCCGUAGGGCCGCCA
rnacentral:tRNA from 1 species